GGACCUAAUGCCACCACUUACCAUCAACUAAUCAUGUCAGUGCGGAGCUAUUCAUAGCCCUCCGCAUUGUUACAAAAUUUGGGAGGCGUGGGGCGAUGCGGUACAGAGCUCAAUUUGGCUUCUGCAUGCCUCCAGAGGUUCCGCUAUUGCAUCACACCCUCCAUACAGAGCAUUCGACCACGUUUUCAGAUCAAGCAUAAAUUGGCUUCAAGAAGAAGGGAGCAGCUGCAGACCAGAAGCCUACAGCCAAUGCAGCACUGGUCCACACCUGUUCUGUCUGUCGGGUCUAAUUCCUAAAAUGUAAAAGCAGAAGAAUCUGUAUGCUCUCGGAUACAAUUAACAGUUCAUAUGGUGCUCUUCGAUGUCCCAGGUUUGUGGCAGGAAUAAAUCAUUUAAUCUUUACUUCAAGUCAGAUGUUUAUAUGUUAUGUUUAAAAGGCGUAUGCAUUGUUACUAUUUUGAUUUAUUUAAAGCAAUGUAAUUCCUUUAAUCUGUAAUCUUUUUAUCUCUUUCUUUCUUUUUCUCUGAGGACCUGAGCCCUAGGACCAUGCCUCAGGACUACCUGGCCUGAUGACUCCUUGCUGUCCCCAGUCCACCUGGUCAUGCUGCUGCUCCAGUUUCAACUGUUCUGCCUGCGGCUAUGGAACUCUGACAAGUUCACCGGAUGUACUACCUGUCCCAGACCUGCUGUUUUCAACUCUCUAAAGACAGCAGGAGCGGUAGAGAUACUCUGAAUGAUCGGCUAUGAAAAGCCAACUGACAUUUACUCCUGAGGUGCUGACCUGUUGCACCCUCUACAACCACUGUGAUUAUUAUUAUUUGACCCCGCUGGUCAUCUAUGAACAUUUGAACAUCUUGGCCAUGUUCUGUUAUAAUCUCCACCUGGCACAGCCAGAAAAGGACUGGCCACCCCUCAUAGCCUGGUUCCUCUCUAGGUUUCUUCCAAGGUUCUGGCCUUUCUAUGGAGUUUUUCCUAGCCACUGUGCUUCUACACCUGCAUUUCUUGCUGUUUGGGGUUUUAGGCUGGGUUUCUGUUCAACACUUUGUGACAUCAGCUGAUGUAAGAAGGGCUUUAUAAAUAAUUUGAUUGAUUGAUUAAUUAAUUAAUUGUUUCAGUUCAGGUGUUUGAUGUGGUGGCUAGGUGCAUUCUUGU
rnacentral:lncRNA from 1 species